CUUAAAUUUGAUGUGAAAGACGUACAGCUAUAUUUUCUUCUGGAAUAUCUGGGACUAAUUUGCCUUGGAUUAUUACAAAAUGUUGUUGGACUAAUUAUAUUAUUCUUGAUCAAGGUUGUAUGAGACGGCACCCACAACUGACGACACUAUGAUAUUACAGGUAGCCGUGUUAGUAGGGUGUUACGUAUCCACGCAUCCGUAGAUUUGACUAUUCCGUUUCAUCCUGACUACGAAGCGAGCGUGAUAGAUUUGUUCAUAUUCAUCCCACAAACGGAGCCUCUGAAGAUGAAAGCAGGGUGUUCCCGAUAUAUGCAAAUGAGUGUCCAGUACAGGUGUCCUCCGAUGACAAGGGCAUAUAGUCUACAAUAAACAUCGAAGCAGGUACGUAUAUAAAGCAUUUAAAUCCAUUUUUGUGCUCUUCUCUAUCUGAUAUUCCAAUUAUCAUAAUGAAAAGGUGAUAAUAUCUUGUUAGUCUAUUGUUCAACCUUGUAUGUAUGUGAAAAGAACAAACAACAUAUGGAAAAUCAUAAUAUUAUUGUCUGGUUUCAAGGAUUGACCUGUGUCAUUUCUUUUUAUUAUUCAUUAACUUUUAUGUGAUGUUUUUUGCUAGUUCACAGAUGUACAUUUCUGAGGUUAUACCGACAAUCCCUAAGCUCCACGUGGUUUUGAGAUCCCUUAGGCUCCACGUGGUUAUGGGAAAUGUACUGGAACCCCACGUAGCUAGGCGAGAUAUCUCGCCACUCCCAGAAGAGGGCAGAAUGUGUACCUGUGGUCUAAAAGGUGACCUCUAUAUACGUAUAUCCUUACUUAACCGUCAGGUGGAAAGUAUUUAUAACUAUAAACGUGUUCAUUCAUAAAAGCUGUGACGUCACUGGGGCAUUUGUCUGUCGCUCUACCGGUCUACGUUUGAGUUUAGUAAACACGCGGUGUCUUUAUCUUGUUUAAUACAGAGGACAACUGUACAGUAACGGGGACAGUUUGUGGGGGUUGGACAAGUCCAGUAUAACAUUCAAACUCAUUAUUUAUUGCCAAUUUAUUUACAUUGAAACUCAAAUGUAAACACCAACACACAUAAAUCUUCCCAACGGAAAAUAACUGUACAAGUUUUGUCCCCCGAUAAAUUUUAACGGACACCUAUAUCCUAAUGCAUAGAUACGACCUAGAGUAGACUUUAAUGUUACACACUGAUAUUUCCAAAUUAUUCUAAGUUGGUGGGGAAAUUAGCUGAAUAGUUUUUUUAUUUUCCAUAACUAAGCUUUGGUAAAAUCUCGAUUAAUUUGUGAUUUUCUUAACUGUAUUCUCACAUAAAAGUACUCUAAAAAGUAAGCUCGAUCGCAAGCAGCAAUAUAUUGUUCUUUAUUAC